GCUGUAUAAUUUACAUGUGGUGACUCAUGCAUGGCUGAACAUGCUUACAAACAUUGAUCGUGCAUGGUUGAACUUGAUCAUAAAUAUUGCCAUAUUUGGUUUGUGUACAAGAAACAAUUUUGUACACAAUGUUGUGUGCUUCAUACAUAGCUUAGUCCUGAUUCAAUUGAAUCUUUGUAAUGAAUCUAUUUGUUUUUAUGAGUAUCUGUUUAGUUUUUUUGUUAUUAAAAUUG
rnacentral:lncRNA from 1 species